GUGCUUGCUCAAUGCGCGCACCAACUUCGUCACCAGACACCUGAAUCAUGGACCACGUGCUGAUGGUCUCCACACCCUGGGGGCUUGCAUCGCAGGGGAGCUGGCAUUAUGGAGCUAGGGGCUAGGGCCAUGUUGCCAAGGCUGGGAUCCUGUUGCUAGGGGCUGAGAUCACAUUGCCAAGGCUGGUUUCCUGUUGCUAGGGGUUGAGAUCAUGUUGCUAAGGCUGGGAUCCUGUUGCUAGGGGCUGAGAUCAUGUUGCCAGGGCUGGGGCCCUGUUGCUAAGGUCUGGGACCACGUUGCCAAGGCUGGGAUGCUGUUGCUAGGGGCUUGGAUCAUGUUGAUAAAUCUGGGAUCCUGUUGCUAGGGAGUUGAAUUCUAUUGCUUGUAGCUGGGUCUUGUUGCCAUGGCUGGUGUUCUGUUGCUAGGGAGCUAGGAUUAUCAUGACAAGGGUCUGGUGCUAGGAAGCUGGCAGGGUCUUGUUUCUGAUGGCAGGGUCUUGUUUCUAGGGUGCUGGGAUUAUGAUGUGAACAGCUCAGUGCUAUAGUCAAGUGUUACAGCUCAGUGUCACAGCCAAGUGCCAUAGCUCUGAGGCACAACUGAGUGUUACAGUUCAGUGUUAUUGCCCUUGGUCUUGGCUAUCGCGAUUUGAAGACUCAAGAAUCCGAUUGUCACUCAAAAAGGUGAAGAAAAACCUUUACUACACCGGCAGGCUCAGAGGAGUUUGUACUCUGAAGUCUGAGUGCCGUACCAGAAACGUGAGCCUUCUUAUACAGGGAUCUACAGGUUAGGAGACUGGAGGUGACAGGCUGAGAGAGGCUGAAGAUGCCACAUUGCCAGCUCUGCAGAUGGAGGAUGGGGCCCAAGCCGAGAGCUGCAGGCGCCUCUAGGAGCCAGGAUGGGGGCCCGGGUUCUCCCUAGAGCCUCAGGAGGAGCAGCCCUGCCGCCUGCGCCUGGACUCAGCCCAGGG
rnacentral:lncRNA from 1 species